AACCGGGGGACUAAGUUGUACCAUGUGGUAAAAAGACAGUUAAAUUAAAACAAUAAGGUUGAAUCAUUAUACUAUUGGGAGGUAGAAUUCGAAUAUAGAUAAAUAUUCUUAAUAAAACCGAUGAAUUGAAGCUGUGAUAACUUUGAGGGAAACUAGGAUUAGAUACCCUAUUAUUCAUAGAUGUAAAUAAGAAAAUUCUACCAGAGUACUAAGAAUAAAAAGUUUAAAACUCAAAGGGCUUGGCGGUGUUCUAGACUACUUAGGGGAACCUGUCUCGUAAUCGACAAUCCACGUUAGACCUAACCUUUUUUUGCAUUCAGUUUGUAUACCGUCGUCGCCAGGUAACUUUUUAGAUAUAAGCAGUUAGCUAAUUAAAUACUUAAAUUAAGACGUCAGAUCAAGGUGCAGCCAAUAAGAAGGUGUAGAUGGGUUACAAUUAUAAAAUUUAUAAUUACGGAUAAUAGUCUUAAAGACAUUUAGUAAGGAGGACUUAAAAGUAAAAUAAAAUAUAAAAAUGUAUUGAAUAAAGCUCUGGGACGUGC
rnacentral:rRNA from 1 species